UACCAAUUUCGACCGCGAACCAGUAAUGCAUUCCGGCUUGAAGAACAGCUCUUGACGGUGGAUGGCGACAUUUACGUAGUAACGUCUAUACACUCCGGUAACAAAUUAUCCUCAAUUCGGCCGUGACCAUCAAUCGAAGUAAUAAAAUAAAGUACUUAAUUAGUAUGUAUGUAAAUCAAAGAAUGUCGUUUUGGUAUCUUCAAAGAUGAUCUCUCAAAUAUUUGGCUUCAAUAGUUUAUAAUAGAUAAUGAAUGUCUUAGUAGAAAACGAAAAAAAUAAUAAUAACAAUGCUAAUAAAAUAAUUUCAAUGCAAAAAACACCGAGACUGGUUCACGAGGCCUGAUGCAGGUUUACAAUAUAAAUAGUACAUUCUCUCAGAUACCGUGUAUCCCUCGUAUGUUACGCACGUGUGCAAUAUGAACAAAAUAAUAUUCAUCGCUUUAACUAUAUGUAUUUACGAAGUUUAUUCGUAUGAUUACGUUAAUAAAUAUGAUGAAAACAAUGGUGAUAAGAAAGAUUCUGAAUCUGAAGAUUAUUGGGGUGAUCCGGAAAAUUUAGAAAAGCCAUCGUACAACUUAAACGAAGCCCCGGAACUGUUCAAGAAAUUUAUUACGGACUACCAGAGGCAGUACAAAGAUGAGUCCGAAUACAAUCUGCGUUACACUUACUUCGUGCAGAACUUGAAGGACAUUAUUGAACUGAACGCUAAAAACAAACAUUCCUCAUCUGAUAUAAACAUGUUCGCGGACUACUCGCCUUCUGAAUUGGCGUCGCUCGGAUAAAGAUUGACAAGAUUCGAACGCUGACACCGCAGUGAAGAAAGGCCCAGUGAAAUUAAUUAAAUACAUCAUUAAAAAUAAAA